GGACUCAUAGCUCAGCUGGUUAGAGCACCGCACUCAUAAUGCGUAGGUCGUAGGUUCGAGUCCUACUGGGUCCA
rnacentral:tRNA from 1 species